AUCCAUGGUGUUUUGAAUUGGGAGGGGGAUCCAUGGCGUUUUGAAUUGGGAGAGCGGGAUCCAUGGCGUUUUGAAUUGGGAGAGGGGGAUCCAUGGCGUUUUGAAUCGGGGGAUCCAUGGCGUUUUGAAUCGGGAGAAGGGGAUCCAUGGCGUUUUGAAUCGGGAGAAGGGGAUCCAUGGCGUUUUGAAUCGGGAGAAGGGGAUCCAUGGCGUUUUGAAUCGGGAGAGGGAUCCAUGGCGUUUUGAAUCGGGAGAAGGGGAUCCAUGGCGUUUUGAAUCGGGAGAGGGGGAUCCAUGGCGUUUUGAAUCGGGAGAGGGGGAUCCAUGGCGUUUUGAAUCGGGAGAGGGGGAUCCAUGGCGUUUUGAAUCGGGAGAGCGGGAUCCAUGGCGUUUUGAAUUGGGAGAGCGGGAUCCAUGGGGUUUUGAAUUGGGAGAGGGGGAUCCAUGGCGUUUUGAAUCGGGGGAUCCAUGGCGUUUUGAAUCGGGAGAAGGGGAUCCAUGAUGUUUUCAGAACUACGUGUUAAAUGUAGAAUAUCCAGAAUGUGCUACCUGCUAUGAAUACUUUAUAUAUCCCCAUAGUUGAUUGUUUCAAAUAGUUGGAUCUUUCCCUGGUUCCCCAUGAAUAGUUGGCCUUGCAUCAUUGUUCUCAUGUAUUGUUUUCAGCUAUCCACUGGAGGGCACCCACUGCAAGUGUAAAUGUGGUGUCAAGUAGUUUCGGUGCUGUGUGAUUUACUUUGCAAGUGUUCAAAUACCCCAUAUUCAUAAAGUUUAGUGGAUUUGAUCUCAUGAAAGUUAUGAUUGUUGUGUCAGUUUAAUGCCCUCUUGGAUUUCUGAAUCCAUAAAAGUGUGAAUUAAAUCUCAAAACGAUUAACAAAUGUCACCUCGUUGGGAAGUUUGCCUUGCUUGUAUGAUGAGAUAUUUGGAGUUAAAAUAUUUGACUCAGCUAAAAUGUGUUUGACACAAUUACCUUAAACUUCAAUCAGGCAAAUAGUGCUAUGUUUACAAAGCUGAGUUCUCAUAACCAGACAAGUGGAAUACACCUCUGAAAUACACUACGGCCAAAAGUAUGUGGACACCUGCUUGUCAAGCAUCUCAUUACAAAAUCAUGGGCAUUAAUAUGAAGUUGAGGGGACCGACUGGGUGUCCUUGAUUUGAGGACAACAUGAUCAGUCUUAGCUUGAAGAGACAAUACAUGGCCAAAAGUAUGUAGACAUCUGUUCGGACAUCUCAUUCCAAAUUCAUGGGCAUUAAUAUGGUCUCCCCUUUGCUGCUAUAACAGCCUCCACUCUUAUGGGAAGGCUUUCUACUAGAUGUUGGAACAUUGGUGCAGGGACUUGCUUCCAUUCAGCCACAAGAGCAUUAAUGAGGUCAGGCACUGAUGUUAGGCGAUUAGGCCUGGCUUGCAGUUGGUGUUCCAUUUCAUCCCAAAGGUGUGCAGUUGAGGUCAGGGCUCUGUGCAGGCCAGUCAAGUUGUUCCACACCGAUCUCGACAAACCAUUUAUGUAUGGACCUCGCUUUGUGCACGGGGGCAUUGUCAUGCUGAAACAGGAAGGAGCCUUCCCCAAACUUUUGCCACAAAGUUGGAAGCACAGAAUCGUCUAGAAUGUCAUUGUAUGCUGUAGCGAUAAGAUUUCCUUUCAUUGGAACUAAGGGCCCUAGCCCGAACCAUGAGAGACAGCUCGGUAGUGAGUGUUGCAACCGAGGACAGACGAUUUUUACGUGCUUCAGUACUCGGGGGGUCUCGUUUUGUGAGCUUGUGUGGCCAUCACUUUGUGGCUGAGCUGUUGUUGUCCUCUAUGUUUCCACUUCGAAAUAACAGCUACUUACAGUUGAACGGGGCAGCUCUAGCAGGGCAGAAAUGUGAUGAACUGACUUGUUGGAAAGGUGGCAUCCUAUGACAGUGCCACGUUGAAGCUUGUCAGUAAGGCAAUUUUACUGCCAAUGUUUGUCUAUAGAGAUUGCAAGGCUGUGUACUUGAUUCUAUACACCUGUUUGCAACGGGUGUGGCUGAAAUAGCAGAAUCCACUAAUAUGAAAGGCUGUCCACAUACUUUUGUAUAUAUAUGGUGUAUGAUGCCAUAUUUAGUGCACCCAUGGCUCACUGGAUUUACAAAUCGGAUAAUUGCACAUUUGCAGCACAGAUAAUUGUUCUUACACCAACCAUUGUGGUACCAUUGACACUGCAGAAUAAUGUUGAUCUUGUACAGGCAUAGAUUAAUACAAUUGUGUUAUUUUGAAAACAGAAAAAUAUCUUCCAUAGCAUUGAAGUGCUUUUGUAAAUAUGAUUUUAUUUGUACAGUAUAUUAUGCAAAACCAGGCAUUGGGUUUUACAUGAAUGUGGCAUGAUCAGCUCUGUUUGUGGUGAAGUGUAUUAAGGGAUGGCUUUAUUAAUAGAAAUGAUUAUUUGCUAGAUAAAUUACAUAGAAAUGUCCACUUUACAUCCAUUACAGUGAUAAUCAAUGUAUGUCUUGAUGUCAAACUGCAAUACCUGCCUUGAAUGUGACUAAAUAAGUGUGUCGAAUAAAUACGUUGUCAUUUCAAAUGAA